rnacentral:rRNA from 1 species
GUGCCAGCAGCGGCGGUAAUACGUAGGUGGCAAGCGUUGUCCGGAUUUAUUGGGCGUAAAGCGAGCGCAGGCGGUUCUUUAAGUCUGAUGUGAAAGCCCCCGGCUUAACCGGGGAGGGUCAUUGGAAACUGGGGAACUUGAGUGCAGAAGAGGAGAGUGGAAUUCCAUGUGUAGCGGUGAAAUGCGUAGAUAUAUGGAGGAACACCAGUGGCGAAGGCGGCUCUCUGGUCUGUAACUGACGCUGAGGCUCGAAAGCGUGGGAGCAAACAGGAUUAGAUACCCUGGUAGUCCACGCCGUAACGAUGAGUGCUAAGUGUUGGAGGUUUCCGCCCUUCAGUGCUGCAGCUAACGCAUUAAGCACUCCGCCUGGGACGUACGACCGCGAAGGUU